GAGCGGUAACGCGGGAGCAAUCCUGGCGACGAGCGGCGAACGGGUGAGUAAUGCUUCGGAAUCUGCCCAGUAGUGGGGAAUAACCAACCGAAAGGUUGGCUAAUGCCGCAUACGACCUACGGGUGAAAGCAGGGGAUCGUAAGACCUUGCGCUAUUGGAUGAGCCGAAGUCGGAUUAGCUAGUUGGUAGGGUAACGGCCUACCAAGGCGACAAUCCGUAGCUGGUCUGAGAGGACGACCAGCCACACUGGGACUGAGACACGGCCCAGACUCCUACGGGAGGCAGCAGUGGGGAAUAUUGGACAAUGGGGGCAACCCUGAUCCAGCGACGCCGCGUGUGUGAAGAAGGCCUGCGGGUUGUAAAGCACUUUUAGUGGGGAUGAAAAGCGUCAGGGCUAAUACCUAUGAGUAUUGACCUAACCCACAGAAAAAGCACCGGCUAACUAUGUG
rnacentral:rRNA from 1 species